GGACACGAGGCGACGCUCGUCUUCAUCGUCCGGAUUUCGGAGGGGGCAACACUCGUCGACGAUGUCUUCCUCCUCGGGCGCUCGGGGUUCGCGAUUAUGUUCGGAACUUAUCUUGUCCAAGUCCUGUAUGUGCAAUAAUCGAUUUUAGGCCCGCUGUGACUAUUAUGCCGACUUCCGGAACUGGUGGGAGAUGACGUGGCUGGCGUGUGAUUCAUGACGACCACUUCCGCCUUGUCGUUGGAAUAUUCCUCCUCAGAGAUUAAUCUGUUGAGUUCAGAGGGUUCGGAAUCUGGCUCAUUGUCACCUUCUCCAAUUUUUGUAUAAUUCUCAUUCUCACCGUAACUGCGGCCGGAGAUUCUACCACGGUUUCGGUGGAUUUCUUCUUUCUCGGCAUUUUUACCCGGAUUCAAUUCGCUUUACACAAGAACUGAAAACGCACUUUGUUUGCCUUGCACACAGAAGAUUCUCAACUUAACUUUUUUAGUAAAAAAAAUUCCGAGAUUUGUGUGCACUCUUUUUCCACCCAGACAAUUUAUUUGAUCAAUGUUUAGUUAUAUUUGGGAGUGAAUGAGGUCAUCAAUAAUUCAUCCAAUCCAGCAGUCUCACUUCAAUAUUGAAUCUCUUAAACAAAUUCUUACACAGAUUUGAUUUAUGUGUUGGAUUGGAGACAACUUGGAACACGAGGACUGUAAAAUAUAUAUUAUUUCUGCUGCAACUGACUGUGAUGAAUUAAAGAUCCUUGAAGAGUCAGCAGAUCAUCCAAAGAAGAAGAAAAUUAUUAUACAACUCACUCCCUCCCUAUGCACAAGAUUUAUGCUAUAAAUUUGUGUAGUCUGUCCAAAUAACGAAAUAUUGAUAUAAAGUCUUCAACUUUAUCCUGACAAUUUUACGGAUAACGUAAAAAUAAUGGAUAUCUCUAUUUAUUGAAGAUGACGAAAUAUUAUGAGUGACAGAAGUGACACACCAAUAUCUCAACUUAAAUCAUCACUUAUUUAAUGCUUUCACAUUUUAAAACUUAUAUUAAAUGCAUGCACUCGUUGCAUAUGUAUGUGGUGAAUUGUAAUAUAUGUCCCACAAUUUAAUUUUAUUAGAGAUGCAGAUAUACGAUUGGGGACUUUUUUAUUCACCUCGUGGUAAAUUAUCACCUUCACUCGCUGCUACACUCCUAUUAAUUUACCUGGCCAGACUCGAACUGCAAUCUCAUUAAUAAUAUAUUUAUGUAGAAGGAAACACUUUUCAUUCAGCGAAGUAUUUUUUAUGGCCAGCAAUGCAAUGCAAUUUAUGUAUUUAUCUUUAUUUUAGUGGUUUUACUCUCCCGAAAAUGUGUACAACUGGUACAAAAAUGAGAUUAGUGGGUUGUAUGUGGAUUGGAUUUUGAUGAGCAGUGUGUAUGUAUAUGUACGUUCCAUAAAAAGGAAGAAUAUUAUUGGCACUAUUUUUUGUCUAUCUUUUUAAGUAUCUAUUUCUCUUUUGUGUGUUCUCAUACCCUAACUUUUAUUACAGCUUUUUUAAAUCUACUAUUUGAUGAUGACGAUGCGAUGUCUGUGGAGUUGAAGUCAUCUCUCUCCGUGAGCCACACCACAUAAGCAAAGCAAAAGCAAGGAUAUUUCUGGAUCUAUUAUCCAUUCCAACAUAUUUUACUUUACACAUUCAACAACCCUUUAUACGUACGUUUCCCAUGUGUUUAAGUAACGUCUAUCUGGCUUCUUUUCAUCAUUAGCUUACCAGCAAGCCUUGCAUUACACAAACUUACCUUUACACAUAGUUUGGUGCAUGCAGUUAUUGCAUUGCAGUCACUUUAGAUAGUUGGACGGAGGAGAUGUAGAAUAGAAGCGUCAGCUAUUUAACUCCGUAUACGCGUUUUAAGACCUUAUGGGCUCGGCUGCUGUAAUAUACGAAAUAGUUGCAUGGAUGGAAGUGAUGGAAUCUUCUCAUUUUAGGGAUGAGUUACAGGGAUUUGCAGCAUAAGCAAAGCAAACCAACCACCUACUGAUGGUUUGGCUUGGUGUGGUUCAAAUAUUUGAUGCGUCCUUUGUUAGCAUGGGCUGAUUUGUAAGAAGUUCGAUUUUGGAGAGCAUGCUGAUCUCGGAGUUGAAAGAUUGAUCUGAGAAUAAAUUGAUCUCAUAAAUACGGUUUGGUUGAGUUACUAUUAGAUCGCGACAAGAUUGCUGGAUGAUUCUUUCUAUAUGCAAAAACAGGUUGCAUGGUUAUAAUAGCUGAAGGUAGCAAAAUUCGCUUACACGAGCAGAAUCAUGAUGGCAAGUUAGUUUUGAAGCUAUAAAAUAAGCCAGUUCUGCUGAUUUUCAUAACUGGGAGGUUGCUUUUGCUUCUCCUGGUCUCUUCUUCUCCUGUUUAAUGGUAUGGUUGUUGGCAAAUAAGUAUGGUUGAGGACGGGGGUUGGCUGAAUUGAAUUUUACAUCCCUGCUGAAUAAAAUACAGUGCAAUUUUUUGCCUUGAUGCAGACCUGGGAUAACUAGGGGCGUAGUACCCGACACGAGUGGGAUUAAGGAUUAUAGUGGAUUAAGUUAAUAAUUGCUACUAACAUUAUGCCAAUAACCAUAUAUUAAGUUGUUAAGUAGUUUGUAGUAAUGAGUUGUCUCAAAUAAAUGGCCCCUAGACUGCGGUCUAAUCCUGGAUAAUGGCGAUGGAUGGAUGAGAUUUAUAUUUGCAUGUACCUGAGCAAAUGGAUUUUCAGAUGUACUUGGAUUUGGAAUUAUUCCACUUAUGUAUUCAUGUUUUAUGAUGUUGGAUUGGUAAAAUAUUUGGUAUGCUAGUGUUACAUACUCAAAGACAAGGAGCUUGGAAAGUGCAAAGUAUGUAUGUAUAAGCCUAUUUAGGUAGUCAUUAAGACAUUAAACAGAACAUUUUCCUCGUCAUCUUUGCAAUACGUUAAAAUCAUGUUAAGAGUAAAAUAUGUGCAUGCAUUUUGUUCACAUCCUUGGUCAAUAAGAGAGAAAAUCUUACUAAUUAAUAUAGAAGUAUGUACAUGCUCAACGUUUAUCCGUGUCCCAUUAAGUCUGGGACACAUAAGUAAACUCGAGGUAAAGAAUUUACAGUGACAAAAUUGACAAUUGCAUUUUAUGAUGUGCCAGACAGCAAAUUUGCAUAAGCUCAGCAUACAUACAACAAAGGUUGACGAUAAGAUAAGGAUUGCAAUUAAAAUAAAUAGUUGGGACCUAAUGAGCAUACCCCGGACAAAUAUUUUUUUAUCCUACCCUACUCGUGUUGAGCUCAACAUGAGUAGGGUAGGAUAAAAAAAUAUUUGUCCGGGGUAUGCUAAUGAGUUGCAUCCGUUUCUGAGUAAAUCUAUUUACUUAUUUAGGGAUUAUGAAAUAUUUCCGAUUUCUUGCCUCAUUACGGAAAAUGAUCAUUACAGAAUCGAUACUUCGUAGUUUUACAUGAUGUGAUUCUUCUAUGAAAUUCGAUCCGGAAUGACUUUUACUUUAUUAUUUCUAAAUCAGUGGUUCUCGUUCUCGCGUUGGUUCAUGGUUCAUUAAUUUUAAGCGAAGAGGUUACAACGACUCGGUACAUUUUUUCAAGACAAAAUUUCACACAUCGUUUUUCAUCUACGAGGAGAGGACGACGCUGUAUCACAUCACAUGAUUGCAUAAUUCAAUUGUAUGCAAGAAGAACCUCACAACCAGUGGCCGCGGAACCCGUGGGGACAUCUGGGGACAUUAACAUUGUAGGAUAGGGGAGGGAGGGGUUUAUAUAAGAUGGACAGAUGAUGCGGACAUCGAACAACCGUGGGGACAUUGUCCCUCAGUCCCCACGCGUCCCGACGCCACUGCUCGCAACAGGAUAAAUUAUGUACAAAAGGAAAACAAUGUACGCGAGAAGAAAUUCAUUCACAUUUGUGUCAAGAGAUGAGACAUAUAUUUACAUAUUGUUUUUGUUAGUGACUAGAGUACAGAAUUAAGACCAGUUUGUAUUCAAAGAUAAUUUAACAAUGUCAUUCAACAUUAUCCAAACAAGGGACGAAUGAAUUAUGCGAUGCAGAAUGUGACAAUUUGUUUGCUGCCAAAUUAUUGUGGGCG